AUUGAACGCUGGCGGCAUGCCUAACACAUGCAAGUCGAACGGGGCAGCAAUGCCUAGUGGCGGACGGGUGAGGAAUACGUAGGAAUCUGCCCUUAAGUGGGGGAUAACCAGGGGAAACCCUGACUAAUACCGCAUGAUCUCUUCGGAGCAAAGAGGGGGACCGCAAGGCCUCUCGCUUCUGGAUGAGCCUACGUCUGAUUAGCUAGUUGGUAGGGUAAAGGCCUACCAAGGCGACGAUCAGUAACUGGUCUGAGAGGAUGAUCAGUCACACAGGAACUGGGACACGGUCCGGACUCCUACGGGAGGCAGCAGUGGGGAAUAUUGGACAAUGGGCGCAAGCCUGAUCCAGCAAUGCCGCGUGUGUGAAGAAGGCCUUCGGGUUGUAAAGCACUUUAGCCUGGAAAGAAAAAACUUUGGUUAACACCCAAAGUCUUGACGGUACCAGGAGAAUAAGCACCGGCUAACUCUGUGCCAGCCGCCGCGGUAAAAC
rnacentral:rRNA from 1 species